GAGUUUGAUCGUGGCUCAGGAUGAACGCUGGCGGCGUGCUUAACACAUGCAAGUCGAACGAAGCACUCAGGAGCGAUUUCGGUCAAUCCUGUUUGACUGAGUGGCGGACGGGUGAGUAACGCGUGAGUAACCUACCUCGCAGUGGGGAAUAACAGUUGGAAACGACUGCUAAUACCGCAUAAUGCAGAGAGACCGCAUGAUCUUUCUGCCAAAGAUUUAUCGCUGUGAGAUGGACUCGCGUCUGAUUAGCUAGUUGGUGAGGUAACGGCUCACCAAGGCGACGAUCAGUAGCCGGACUGAGAGGUUGACCGGCCACAUUGGGACUGAGACACGGCCCAGACUCUAC
rnacentral:rRNA from 1 species